rnacentral:rRNA from 1 species
AUUGAACGCUGGCGGCAGGCCUAACACAUGCAAGUCGAACGAGCUUUGUUUUCGGAUUCUUCGGAUGACGAAGUUCAAAGCGAGUGGCGGACGGGUGAGUAACGCGUGAGGAACCUGCCUCAUUCCGGGGGAUACCAGUUGGAAACGACUGUUAAUACCGCAUAAGCGCACAGCACCACAUGGUGCAGUGUGAAAAACUCCGGUGGAAUGAGAUGGCCUCGCGUCUGAUUAGCUUGUUGGCGGGGCAACGGCCCACCAAGGCGACGAUCAGUAGCCGGCCUGAGAGGGUGGACGGCCACAUUGGGACUGAGACACGGCCCAG